rnacentral:tRNA from 1 species
GCGCCCGUGGUGAAGCGGUAUCACAGCGUCCUUCCAAGUCGCAGUCACCGGUUCGAUCCCGGUCGGGCGCU